GGGGAUGUAAGGGUUUCGACAGUAGAAAGGGUAAUAGGUGAGCAUGUCGACGCAAUACGCACAUUGCAAUAACUGCUGAAGACAAUUUAGCACUCGCUGCCUAAUUUUUAGGUAGCCGGGCUUCGGGUUGAGGGCACUGCACCCCGCGGUUUGUAAUAAAUGUGUGUCUGGGCUCGUCUCUUGACCUUCAGGGGCGUACCGAGACAAUGAGGGUCUGGUCUCAAGGGGGUUGGUUUCUGACCGACUUGAGUCGACAACAAUCAGAAAACUAAGCAUGUAGCGCGCCCAUUUGACAGUCUAUUGGACGCGGGUUCAACUCCCGCCAUCUCCAGAU
rnacentral:tmRNA from 1 species